CUCCCUACAGCAUAUAGGGGAAGGGACAGAGUUGCAGAGAGAGAGAGGGAGAGUGUUCAGGAUGCUGAAACUACACUCGUUAUCUUCCCCUGCGACUGCACAAAACCCUCACAAAAGCCCUAGCCAGUUCCUCUCUUCGCAGCUCUCCGGUAGGGGUAGGGUUUUCAGCACCAACACCUUCGGCUUCGCUCCGAGUCCGAGCUUGUCGACGAAGAGGCUUUCCUUGAAAUGUCGCCAGUCGGAGUACUUCGACCAGCAGAGAACCAGCACCGCCGCUUCCCCGAACAAGCCUUCUCCUGCUUCGCAAACUCCCACCGGAGUGACAGGGAUGGCACCUAGGAUUUACGUGGGUCACUCAAUAUACAAGGGAAAGGCAGCUCUUACUGUAGAGCCCAAAGCUCCAGAGUUCACCCCAUUAGAUUCAGGGGCAUUCAAACUUUCCCGGGAAGGUUUUGUGCUACUUCAGUUUGCUCCAGCAGCAGGUGUUCGUGUAUAUGACUGGAGCAGAAAGCAGGUAUUCUCGCUAUCAGUGACAGAAAUUGGAAGCCUGGUUAGCCUUGGCUCAAAGGAGUCCCUUGAAUUUUUCCAUGAUCCUUUUAAGGGUAAAAGUGAUGAGGGCAAGAUCAGGAAGGUGUUGAAGGUGGAGCCUCUUCCAGAUGGAUCUGGCCAUUUCUUUAACCUCAGUGUUCAAAACAAGCUUAUCAACUUGGACGAGAGCAUUUAUAUUCCUAUCACCAGGGCGGAAUUUGCCGUUCUCAAAUCAGCUUUCAAUUUCAUCUUGCCGUACAUUUUAGGUUGGCAUGCCUAUGCAAACUCCAUAAAACCAGAAGCUUCGGGCCGUGCCAAUAACUCUGGUAUUAAAUACGGAGGAGAUUUUGAAUGGGGCAGAUAGUAGGGACACUAAGGGAACUUUAAAGUGCAAAUGAUGAUGGUUUGAUGUUAAUCGUUCGUUGUGGUAAAGAUGCUAGAGAACUACAAAGAAAGCCUACACCGAGGUCAACAAGCAAACAAAGCAACAUAACCAAAGCAGCGAAGGGGAUAGAAAAAGAAAGGAGUAUUUUUAGCAGGAGAUGGAGCCCUGUGAUAUUUCAUUAGUCAAGAAAGACAAAUUGUUGGUCGCUCUUUAUAUUAAUCCGAUGGCUAAUCUACUUUAAUAAAUAUUUACGUUAAAAAAAACAAAACAAAAAGAAAACUUACAAAAUAAAUAUAUUCACCUAUUUAUAACAGUGAGCUACCCACAGAUGUAUCGAAAU